rnacentral:rRNA from 1 species
AUUGAACGCUGGCGGCAGGCCUAACACAUGCAAGUCGAGCGAGCGGCGGACGGGUGAGUAAUGUCUGGGAAACUGCCUGAUGGAGGGGGAUAACUACUGGAAACGGUAGCUAAUACCGCAUACCAUCAGAUGUGCCCAGAUGGGAUUAGCUAGUAGGUGGGGUAACGGCUCACCUAGGCGACGAUCCCUAGCUGGUCUGAGGGGUUGACCAGCCAAACUGGAACUGGGAAACGGUCCGGACUCCUACGGGAGGAGGCAGUGGGGAAUAUUGCACAAUGGGCGAAAGCCUGAUGAGGCAAUGCCGCGUGUGUGAAGAAGGCCUUCGGGUUGUAAGGCACUUUCAGCGGGGAGGCGUUACCCGCAGAAGAAGCACCGGCUAACUCCGUGCCAGCCGCCGCGGUAAUAC